AAUAUUAUUAGGUUAAAAUAUAAGUACGCAAGACCGAACAACGGCGGCGUUAUUGGAACACAAUUUGAUUUCUCGGGUUUUUUUUCUUAAUAUAAUAAUACCAGUGUUAUAUUUGAUUUUCUGGCGUACACGUCGUGACAUCUAUCGGAGAAACGAGCGCGUCGUAAUGAACUAAAUAUAUCGCGUCCUCGUCGUCGCCGUACGAAAAACACACGAGCAGAAUUCG